rnacentral:rRNA from 1 species
CGAUUACGGCUCAGUAACACGUAGCUAACCUACCCUUAGGACGUGGAUACCCCCGAGAAAUUGGGGUUAAUCCGCGAUAGAUGUAAUGUCCUGGAAUGGUAUUACGUCUAAAGGUAUUUCAUACAUGUUUGAAAUAUGCCUAAGGAUGGGGCUGCGGCCGAUCAGGCUGUUGGUGAGGUAAUGGCUCACCAAACCUUUGACCGGUACGGGCCAUGAGAGUGGUAGCCCGGAGAUGGACACUGAGACAAGGGUCCAGGCCCUAAGGGGCGCAGCAACCGCGAAACCUCCACAAUGCACUCACGUGCGAUGGGGCUAUCUCGAGUGCCACCUGAUGAAGGUGGCUUUUCCUUGGUCUUCAAAGCCUUGGGAAUAAGAGGGGGGCAAGACUGGUGUCAGCCGCCGCGGUAACACCAGCCCCUCGAGUGGUGGGGAUGAUUAUUUGGCCUAAAGCGUCCGUAGCCGGCCGAGCAAGUCUUCCGUUAAAUCCAGCGUCUCAAGCGUUGGACCGCGGGAGAUACUACACGGCUACAGAGUGGGAGAGGUUAGCGGUAUUCUGGGGGUAAGGGCGAAAUCCUUUGAUCCCCGGAGGACCACCAGUGGCGAAGGCUG